UACGGAGGGUGCGAGCGUUGUCCGGAAUCACUGGGCGUAAAGGGCGCGUAGGCGGCCUGAUAAGUAGGGGUGAAAUCCUGCGGCUUAACCGCAGGGCUGCCUUCUAAACUGUCAGGCUAGAGCACGGUAGAGGCAGAUGGAAUUCCCGGUGUAGCGGUGGAAUGCGUAGAGAUCGGGAAGAACAUCAGUGGCGAAGGCGGUCUGCUGGGCCGUUGCUGACGCUGAGGCGCGACAGCGUGGGAGCAACAGG
rnacentral:rRNA from 1 species